UCUCCGUUGGUGAACCAGCGGAGGGAUCAUUACCAGAGUUUUACAACUCCCAACCCUUCUGUUAACCUACCUAUCGUUGCUUCGGCGGACUCGCCCCAUCGACCGACCGGCCCCGCGCCGGCCCGCGACCUGGACCCAGGCGACCGCCUGAGACGAAAAAAUCCUGUAUACAUCAGUCUAUCUGAAUCCGCCGCAAGGCAAACUAGACGAAACAAAACUUUCAACAAUGGAUCUCUUGGUUCUG
rnacentral:misc_RNA from 1 species